rnacentral:rRNA from 1 species
UUGAGAAUGAAGCGGAUAGAGUCGACGAAACUUAAUCAGUAUUCAACCGGCAAAUCGAGCGGCUUCAUGUGCGUACGUCACAUUACUCAAAAGGUUCUGUGUUGUCGUCGUGCGUGUUUGGCUGUUCGUUGUUUGUGCUGGCGUAUUUACUGAUUGUAUGCAUUGAAAGCUUCGUAUAUUUUUGCGCACGAAAAUAUUCUAAUGGGAGAGGCUCGUCAGUUGCUCUCGGGYAUUYGGCGAUAACUUCUUGAGAGUAGAAGCGUGUCGUGUAUGAAGUUCUCUGCACAAUUDAUGGBGAAUCGGAAGAAGAGCUGUUCAUUCGUCAUCUUUUCGUACGUGAGUGAGUUUGCAUGAUUAAUUUCGCGUUAUGCGUGGAGUGUUGCGCAAAUUGUACUUUCUACGGAAGGAUUUUCUGAUGAGCUUUUGCACCUGUGUGCGAGAGUGGAAAAUUGUGUGUUUCGAUGUGAAUGUCGAUCACCUAUCCGACCCGUCUUGAAACACGGACCAAGGAGUCUAGCGUAUGCGCGAGUCAUUGGGUAUGCGAAAACCUAAGGGCGUAAUGAAAGUGAACGUUGUCGUUGAUGCGGCAGUUAUGCGAUUUGCUCUGUUUUAAUAAAGUGAUUCAGUGCAAAGCAGCAUAGUCCCGUCUAGAUUACAUGUAAUUAGGCGGAGAAUGAGCGUAUGCGCUGGGACCCGAAAGAUGGUGAACUAUGCCUGAGCAGGAUGAAGCCAGAGGAAACUCUGGUGGAAGUCCGAAGCGGUUCUGACGUGCAAAUCGAU